rnacentral:tRNA from 1 species
GUCGGUGUGGUGUAGUGGUUUGAGUGUUGGACUAUGACUGGAGACCAGGGUUCAAAUCCCUGCUCCACCA